rnacentral:rRNA from 1 species
UACGAAGGGGGCUAGCGUUGCUCGGAAUCACUGGGCGUAAAGGGUGCGUAGGCGGGUCUUUAAGUCAGGGGUGAAAUCCUGGAGCUCAACUCCAGAACUGCCUUUGAUACUGAAGAUCUUGAGUCCGGGAGAGGUGAGUGGAACUGCGAGUGUAGAGGUGAAAUUCGUAGAUAUUGGGAAGAACACCGGUGGCGAAGGCGGCUCACUGGCUCGUAACUGACGCUCAUGCACGACAGCGUGGGGAUCAAACAGG